GUGGGGAAUAUUGGACAAUGGGCGAAAGCCUGAUCCAGCCAUGCCGCGUGAGUGAUGAAGGCCCUAGGGUUGUAAAGCUCUUUCACCGGGGAAGAUAAUGACGGUACCCGGAGAAGAAGCCCCGGCUAACUUCGUGCCAGCAGCCGCGGUAAUACGAAGGGGGCUAGCGUUGUUCGGAAUUACUGGGCGUAAAGCGCACGUAGGCGGAUCAGUCAGUUAGGGGUGAAAUCCCAGGGCUCAACCCUGGAACUGCCUUUAAUACUGCUGAUCUAGAGUUCGAGAGAGGUGAGUGGAAUUCCGAGUGUAGAGGUGAAAUUCGUAGAUAUUCGGAGGAACACCAGUGGCGAAGGCGGCUCACUGGCUCGAUACUGACGCUGAGGUGCGAAAGCGUGGGGAGCAAACAGGAUUAGAUACCGAGUAGUCC
rnacentral:rRNA from 1 species